rnacentral:snRNA from 1 species
GUGCUCACUUCAGCAGCACAAAUGCUACAUUCUGAGCGAUGCAGAGAAGGUCAGCAUGGCCCCUGCCAACAGGAACCUGAAAACAGGCAGGAGUAGCCGUCCUAA